rnacentral:miRNA from 1 species
GGACCUGGCCCUGGUCCUGGCCCUGGUCCUGGCCCGGGCCCGGGCCCAGGUCCAGGCCCAGGAACUGGCUGUG